rnacentral:rRNA from 1 species
AGAGUUUGAUCAUGGCUCAGGAUGAACGCUAGCGGCAGGCCUAAUACAUGCAAGACGAACGGUAAGUUUGAUAGCAAUAUUGAACCUAGAGUGUCGUAAGGGUGCGUAACACGUAUGCAAUCUGCCCUCAACAGGAGAAUAGCUCCCCGAAAGGGGAAUUAACACUCCGUAAUAUUAUUGAAUGGCAUCAUUUGAUAAUUAAAACUACGGUGGUUGAGGAUGAGCAUGCGCAUGAUUAGUUAGUUGGCGGGGUAACGGCCCACCAAGACGAUGAUCAUUAGGGGAACUGAGAGGUUGAUCCCCCACACUGGCACUGAGAUACGGGCCAGACUCCUACGGGAGGCAGCAGUAGGGAAUAUUGGACAAUGGGUGCGAGCCUGAUCCAGCCAUGCCGCGUGCAGGAAGACGGCCUUCUGGGUUGUAAACUGCUUUUGCCAGGGGAUAAAAAGUCCCUGCGGGGAAAAUUGAAGGUACCUGGUGAAUAAGCCACGGCUAACUACGUGCCAGCAGCCGCGGUAAUACGUAGGUGGCAAGCGUUGUCCGGAUUUAUUGGGUUUAAAGGGUGCGUAGGUUGUUUUGUAAGUCAGUGGUGAAAUCCGGCAGCUCAACUGUCGAUGUGCCAUUGAUACUGCAGAACUUGAGUACAGACGAGGUAGGCGGAAUUGACGGUGUAGCGGUGAAAUGCUUAGAUAUCGUCAAGAACACCGAUAGCGAAGGCAGCUUACUAGACUGUAACUGACACUGAUGCACGAAAGUGUGGCGAUCAAACAGGAUUAGAUACCCUGGUAGUCCACACUGUAAACGAU